rnacentral:rRNA from 1 species
UACGGAGGGUGCGAGCGUUGUCCGGAAUCACUGGGCGUAAAGGGCGCGUAGGCGGCAUGCCAAGCGUGUGGUGAAAGCCCGGGGCUCAACCCCGGGUCGGCCGUGCGGACUGGCGUGCUCGAGCACUGUAGGGGCGGGUGGAAUUCCGGGUGUAGCGGUGGAAUGCGUAGAGGAUCCGGAAGAACACCGGUGGCGAAGGCGGCAAUCCUGGACCGGUAGUUGGACGCGUGACGGCGCGGAAAGCCAGGGGAGCAAAGCGGGAUUAAGCAUGACCCCGGUAGUCCCGA